GAUGAACGCUAGCGACAGGCCUAACACAUGCAAGUCGAGGGGCAUCGGGGCGUAGCAAUACGCUGCCGGCGACCGGCGGAUGGGUGAGUAACGCGUAUGCAACCUGCCUUCAGCAGGGGGAUAGCCCGUUGAAAGACGGAUUAAUACCCCGUAACACAGGGGCUCCGCAUGGAGAUUAUUGUUAAAGGGAUACUUCCUUCGGGGGGUAUUCCGGCUGAAGAUGGGCAUGCGUUCCAUUAGGUAGUUGGUUGAGGUAACGGCUCACCAAGCCUACGAUGGAUAGGGGAACUGAGAGGUUGGUCCCCCACACUGGUACUGAGACACGGACCAGACUCCUACGGGAGGCAGCAGUGAGGAAUCUUGGUCAAUGGACGGAAGUCUGAACCAGCCAUGUCGCGUGAAGGAGGACGGCCCUAAGGGUUGUAAACUUCUUUUGCAGGGGGAAUAAAGUAUUCCACGAGAUGGGAUAUUGCAAGUACGCUGCGAAUAAGGAUCGGCUAACUCCGUGCCAGC
rnacentral:rRNA from 1 species